GCGGGAAUAGCUCAGUUGGUUAGAGCGCGAGGUUGUGGUUCUCGAGGUCGCCGGUUCAAUCCCGGUUUCUCGCCCCA
rnacentral:tRNA from 1 species